rnacentral:misc_RNA from 1 species
UUUCCGUAGGUGAACCUGCGGAAGGAUCAUUAAAGAGUAAGGGUCUUCGGGCCCGAUCUCCAACCCUUUGUUUAACUACCAUGUUGCUUUGGCGGGCCCGUCUCACGACCGCCGGUAGUUUGGCUUCGACCAAACUUCUGGCCCGUGCCCGUCAGUGGCCCCUUCAAAUUCUUGAUCAAGUAUGAUGUCUUAGUUCAAAACUUAAUAGUUAAAACUUUCAACAACGGAUCUCUUGGUUCUG